GUCCCUGUAGUGCAAUGGAUAGCUCGUUGGACUUCUAAUCCAAAGGUCGUGGAUUCGAAUUCUCCUGGGAUG
rnacentral:tRNA from 1 species